rnacentral:lncRNA from 1 species
GUUCCAUAUGUAAAAAGCAUUUUGAUGAAAUCAAAGCUGGAACUGCCUGAGAAAAGAAAAGAAAAUGAAUUCAUGAUUUUGAAUGGAGACAUUGUCACAAUACAAUGCAAUGUUAAAUCAUACCUUCCUAUUCGUUCAGUUACCUGGCAGAAAGAAAAAGGCAGUGAAUUCAUACAAAUCACUCAAUCUAUGGGAAAAUAUGAAAUGGUUUUUGAUAAAACAGCAUCUUUGACAAUAGAUAAUUUCAAUGCUGGAGAUAAUGGAAAGUACAGAUGUAUAUUAAGAAACAGAAUUGGUCUAAGGAACGAAAUAUUUGGUAGCUGUUUGAACUAUAUGUCAAGAUUUGGUUGGUUGACAGGAUUUGUGUCAGUAUUACAACAUAUUCCCACCUUCCACACAGACCAUAUCAAUUUACAUAAUUAUG